rnacentral:RNase_P_RNA from 1 species
GCAGAGGGACAGGCGUUCGCUGAGUCGCAGGAUUCAGAGGAAAGUCCGGGCUCCAUAGGACACGAUGGUGGGUAACGCCCACCGUCCGCGAGGAUCGGGCAAGUGCAACAGAAAGCAAACCGCCGAUCGGCAGGACCGAAAGGUUCUGCAGGAGGUAAGGGUGAAACGGUGCGGUAAGAGCGCACCAGCGGUUCGGGUGACCGAGCCGGCUGGGUAAACCCCAUUGGGAGCAAGGCCAAGCAGAAGGGACGGCAGUCUUCGGACUGCCACGAAUCUGUCCGAUUCGUCAUACCUUCGGGUCGGCUGCUUGAGGUGUCGAGUAAUCGACAUCCCAGAGAAAUGAACGCCCGCGACAGAACCCGGCUUAUCGUCCCUCUGCCGGC